rnacentral:rRNA from 1 species
GGACUACUGGGGUAUCUAAUCCCGUUCGCUCCCCAUGCUGUCGUGUCUCAGCGUCGGUAAUGUGCCAGGUGGCCGCCUUCGCCUCUGGUGUUCCUCCGGAUCUCUACGCAUUUCACCACUACACCCGGAAUUCCGCCACCCUCUCACACCCCCAAGACAUCCAGUCUCGCACAGCCUCCGCGCGUUGAGCGCACGGCUUUCAUGCACGACUUAAAUGCCCGCCUGCACACCCUUUAAGCCCAGUAAAUCCGGAUAACGCUCGCCUCCUACGUAUUACCGCGGCUGCUGGCAC